ACUGAAGAGCCAGAGUGUACAGUCUAUGCUGACAAUUUUAGCGGGCGGUCUCUGACAUUUACUGAUGAUGAAGAAAACCUUAAAUGGUACAAAUUUGAUAACAAAAUAUCAUCAAUUGAGGUGAAAAGUGGCGCGUGGGUUGGAUAUCAACAUCCUAACUUUAGGGGAGAUCAAAGUCUGUUUCUGAAAGGGAGAUAUGAAGCUACUGAUAAACCAAAUGAUGUAGGCGGAUUUAAGGAUGACAGGAUUUCGUCAUUUAGCCAGAUAAUUUUGAAACCAGCAGCUGGGGUUAAGAUGAAGCUGCGGCAGAUUGAUUAUGACUUGGAUAAAGCACAUAUCCUCAGGACCCCUACGUCCGUGUUCAGCUGGACUCAAGUGAAUAAUACCUCAGAAGAGCAGAAUGUAACAAAAACAGACGAAAUAACCAUAACAAGAGAAGAUACAUAUGAAUUCAGAUGGGACAGAGCAGCUAAAGUAUCAACAACAAUGACAGGAAAGGUUGGAAUUCCGUUAGUUGGUGAAACAGAAGUCAGUAUUAGCGCUGAGAUGUCUGUUAGUAUGGGGAGUACUGCAGGAACAAAAAAGUCAAAAACUAAAAAAUUGGUUGCAGAGUAUCCGUCAAAAAUCCCGCGGUAUUCCACAGUUUCGAUGACAUCGAA